GACGAACGCUGGCGGCGUGCCUAACACAUGCAAGUCGAGCGGAGAUAUGUAGAGGAAGUUUUCGGAUGGAGUUUAUAUAUUUUAGCGGCGGACGGGUGAGUAACGCGUGAGGAACCUGCCCUUUACAGGGGGAUAACGCACCGAAAGAUGCACUAAUACCGCAUGAGACCACAGCACCGCAUGGUGCAGGGGUCAAAGGAGUAAUCCGGUGAAGGAGGGACUCGCGUCCGAUUAGAUAGUUGGUGAGGUAACGGCUCACCAAGUCAACGAUCGGUAGCCGACCUGAGAGGGUGAUCGGCCACAUUGGAACUGAGACACGGUCCAAACUCCUACGGGAGGCAGCAGUGGGGAAUAUUGGGCAAUGGGGGGAACCCUGACCCAGCGACGCCGCGUGAGGGAAGAAGGUUUUCGGAUUGUAAACCUCUGUCCUUGGUGAAGAGAAGAAGACGGUAGCCAAGGAGGAAGCCCCGGCUAACUACGUG
rnacentral:rRNA from 1 species